rnacentral:rRNA from 1 species
AGUAGCAAUACCGACUGAUGGCGACCGGCGCACGGGUGAGUAACGCGUAUGCAACCUGCCCUGUACAGGGGGAUAGCCCAUGGAAACGUGGAUUAAUAUCCCAUAGUAAUCAUGAUAGGCAUCUAUUUUGAUUUAAAUCUUCUGAGGUACAGGAUGGGCAUGCGUCCUAUUAGAUAGUUGGCGGGGUAACGGCCCACCAAGUCUUUGAUAGGUAGGGGUUCUGAGAGGAAGGUCCCCCACACUGGUACUGAGACACGGACCAGACUCCUACGGGAGGCAGCAGUGAGGAAUAUUGGUCAAUGGGCGAUAGCCUGAACCAGCCAAGUCGCGUGAGGGAAGACUGCCCUAUGGGUUGUAAACCUCUUUUGUAAGUGGAGAAUAAGCGUUACGUGUAACGCGAUGACUGUAACUUACGAAUAAGCAUCGGCUAACUCCGUGCCAGCAGCCGCGGUAAUACGGAGGAUGCGAGCGUUAUCCGGAUUUAUUGGGUUUAAAGGGUGCGUAGGCGGCACUAUAAGUUAGUGGUAAAAUAUCCGGGCUUCACCCGGACUCGCCAUUAAUACUGUAGAGCUCGAGUACAGACGAGGUAGGCGGAAUAAGUUAAGUAGCGGUGAAAUGCAUAGAUAUAACUUAGAACUCCGAUAGCGAAGGCAGCUUACCA